CCUACGGGAGGCUGCAGUGGGGAAUAUUGCACAAUGGGCGCAAGCCUGAUGCAGCCAUGCCGCGUGUGUGAAGAAGGCCUUCGGGUUGUAAAGCACUUUCAGCGGGGAGGAAGGCGUUAAGGUUAAUAACCUUGGCGAUUGACGUUACCCGCAGAAGAAGCACCGGCUAACUCCGUGCCAGCAGCCGCGGUAAUACGGAGGGUGCAAGCGUUAAUCGGAAUUACCGGGCGUAAAGCGCACGCAGGCGGUCUGUCAAGUCGGAUGUGAAAUCCCCGGGCUCAACCUGGGAACUGCAUUCGAAACUGGCAGGCUAGAGUCUUGUAGAGGGGGGUAGAAUUCCAGGUGUAGCGGUGAAAUGCGUAGAGAUCUGGAGGAAUACCGGUGGCGAAGGCGGCCCCCUGGACAAAGACUGACGCUCAGGUGCGAAAGCGUGGGGAGCAAACAGGAUUAGAUACCCCAGUAGUC
rnacentral:rRNA from 1 species